UACGGAGGGUGCGAGCGUUGUCCGGAAUCACUGGGCGUAAAGGGCGCGUAGGCGGCCUGGUAAGUAGGGGGGUGAAAUCCUGCGGCUUAACCGCAGGGCUGCCUUCUAAACUGUCAGGCUCGAGCACGGUAGAGGCAGAUGGAAUUCCCGGUGUAGCGGUGGAAUGCGUAGAGAAUCGGGAAGAACACCCGUGGCGAAGGCGGUGUGCUGGGUUGCAAACUGACGCUGAGAUGCGGAAAGUGUGGGGGAGCGAAACGGGG
rnacentral:rRNA from 1 species